rnacentral:misc_RNA from 1 species
CCGUAGGUGAACCUGCGGAAGGAUCAACCCCUGUAUUAGUUUUGUGUGGGCAGGUCUCCCUGUGUGUCCAUUGGGCUGGAUGCACGGUGGUUAGACCCGGGUCUUCUUGGUGGGGAGGCCUGGUUUAGUUAGUUAGUUAGUUAGUUAGGCCUGGCUUGUGGGGGGGUUGACUAGGCUGGACGGUGUACUGACAAAGCCGUUUUCCAGCUAUAGAGCCGUUCCAGUCAGGCCAGGGCAUGUCCCAGUCCCCAUUGGUGGUGGGGGGCGCCCCUCCGUGAGUGACUCUGAGGCCUUGUCAUCCUCAGUGUCCGUCGGAGUUUAUAGGUGUGGGUGUGGUGCUGCACGACGGGGGUUUGCUCUGAUGUGUCUGAUUAACGCUAGGAGGCAAGCCUUUUGCAGAGCCUGUGUACUUGGACUCAUCACCCAAGUAGACGAAAUAGCCUCUUUAUGCCUGGCAUUCCAUGCUGGGUCGGGCAAGCAUUCUUGCUGGGACGCCAAUGCGAAUGCAAGCCAACACGAGUGAAGGCGACGUAGAUAUGGGUCCCUUGGGGGCCCCAUGGACAAAACUAUUCAUUUUUUUUUUAGGUACUGCGGCCCAAGGGCGGGAUUGGGUAAAAUAAAUAGAGGCAGUUCCGAUUGGCCUUGUGCCAAUAACAUGCCAGUGAAGACGUCUUUGUCCACUCCAUCACACUUACAGGACAAGACCUAGCUGGUCCGCAGGCGGCGGGAUGACAUGGGUUGGGGGAAGGGGGGGUUCCAGAAGGAGACUGGGUAGCAUAGGUGGCGUUACUAGUGCGCUGCUGAGGAGCAACCGGCCAGUUGGUCCGCGCUACUUGGUCGAUCUCUGGACUUGUUGGAUGUAAGGUAGGCAUCCGCAGUGUUGGUGUGCACCCAGUGUACUCCACACCCCCCCCUCUUCCGUCAUGCCCAAUCGUCUGAAGUUUAUGGGCCUCGACGAAUUGAUGUGAGUCGAGGGGGCCAUCAUCUGUUUGGCCCGGCAUGGACCUAAACCUACACGCGGUGCCCCUGUUCUUGACUGAUUAGGUCUAUAACAUCAAGCUGGGUUUUCCAAAAUGGGUGAGAUAACUCUCAACAAUGGAUCUCUAGGCUCUUGCAUCGAUGAAGAACGCAGU